rnacentral:piRNA from 1 species
UAGAAAUGGGUGCAUGAAUUUUAGAUGCU